rnacentral:sRNA from 1 species
CCUGCCUGUCACAGCCCUGGGUCCCUUCAAACAGUAAAGGUUAAACAGAAAUUCCCACAGAACCCUCCAGUCAGGAUGAAAGGGCAAUGGGCAGACAGCUGCGGGCAGCAGAGAAUGUUUCAAGCCAACAAUGAUGGUGGCCCUCUGGAUGGGAGGGUUCAACAGGAAGUGAUUUGGCUGGCUGUUUGAAGCGUGUAUCGUGGUUUCUGUUGGAAAGCGAGUUAUCCUCAGAAAGUCCACAUGGAGCCGGGAGAUAAAACACAAAACAGCCCAGGGCUACAAGUCCCCGGUGAGUGCACAGGUCUAAGGAGCGGCCUCCAGCUGCUCUGCGAACUUCCCUAACAGAUUUCAGCCACCCAGAGAGCACCAAGGUGAGGACGAUGGGAGAAGACCACGUGGCAAGAAGACUCAAGGGGCCUCCACCUGACAACCCAUUGGCAGCUGUCACUAGGCACGAGACCCCUCCCCAGUCGAACUUCGGAUGGGACUUUAAUUCUACCCAAAACUGGAUUUAAGGCCUGCCAGGAGGUGCUGACUCGUGUUGUUUCAAGGCCCUAAAUGGGUGGUCAUUUGUUAUGUGGCAAAACAUCUUUAAUACAGCGGAGUAUCGAGUACCUAAGAUGCCUGACGUCCUGUAAGCACGAGGAUUAGCUCCGUGUGCUUCCAGCCCUAUGCUACUCACACAAAUCUGAGCAAGUGUAGCUACUGUUACAUGCUGGAUUGCAGGUCAUUGUCUUUCUAACUCCAGGCUACUCGUCCAACUUUAAAUCCUUAUUUUAUUAGAGCUCA